AGUGCCGCUCUGUAGCANACAGGAAUGGCGCACGGUCGCACGGGGUGCGUAACACGUGGGCAAUCUGCCCUCCNGACUGGGGAAUAACCCCUGCGAAAGCGGGGCUAAUACCGCAUAACAUUCCUGGGAACCCCGUGUUUCCGGAAUCAAAUCCGUAAUGCGUCGGAUGUGGAGCCCGCGCACGAUUAGCUAGUUGGCAGGGUAACGGCCUACCAAGGCAAUGAUCGUUAGCUGGUCUGAGAGGAUGGCCAGCCACACUGGAACUGAGACACGGUCCAGACUCCUACGGGAGGCAUCAGUGGGGAAUCUUGCGCAAUGGGCGAAAGCCUGACGCAUCGACGCCGCGUGGGGGAUGAAGCCUUUCGGAGUGUAAACCCCUUUCGACCGGGAAGAAUACCUCGCAAGAGGGGUGACGGUAUCGGUAUAAGAAGCCCCGGCUAACUACGUGCCAUCAGCCGCGGUAA
rnacentral:rRNA from 1 species